rnacentral:rRNA from 1 species
GACGAACGCUGGCGGCGUGCUUAACACAUGCAAGUCGAACGAUGAAGCCGGAGCUUGCUCUGGUGAAUUAGUGGCGAACGGGUGAGUAACACGUGAGUAACCUGCCCUUGACUCUGGGAUAACUGCGGGAAACUGUAGCUAAUACCGGAUACGACCCUCGGAGGCAUCUCCUGGGGGUGGAAAGAAUUGUGGUGAAGGAUGGACUCGCGGCCUAUCAGCUAGUUGGUGAGGUAGAGGCUCAGCAAGGCGACGACGGGUAGCCGGCCGGAGAGGGUGACCGGCCACACUGGGACUGAGACACGGCCCAGACUCCUACGGGAGGCAGCAGUGGGGAAUAUUGCACAAUGGGCGCAAGCCUGAUGCAGCAACGCCGCGUGAGGGAUGACGGCCUUCGGGUUGUAAACCUCUUUUAGCAGGGAAGAAGCGAAAGUGACGGUACCUGCAGAAAAAGCACCGGCUAACUACGUGCCAGCCGCCGCGGUAA